rnacentral:tRNA from 1 species
UUAAUUGAAACCAAAAAAGAGGUAAAUCAUUGUUAAUGAUUAAAUUGGAAAGUCCCCAAUUAAA